ACAGUCAUUCUAAAAAGCACCAUGGAAAUCAAGGGAAAAAGCUCUGGGGCCAGGCUUGCAGGCACCAACUGGAAGACAGCCAUACUAGUCCUCAGCCCCUUGGCAUUCAUACUGGGAUUAAUAAUACUGACCCUGAAUGGUCAUUACAACAAGAAGAAGGAAAUCC